rnacentral:rRNA from 1 species
AUGGCCAUACCAUGCUGAAUAUACCGGUUCUCGUUAGAUCACCGAAGUCAAGCAUCAUUGGGCACGGUCAGUACUUGGGGGGGGGGGAGGUGACCACCUGGGAACACCGCGUGCCGUU